GUCGAGAAUCAUUCACAAUGGGCGAAAGCCUGAUGGUGUGACGCCGCGUGGAGGAUGAAGGUCUUCGGAUUGUAAACUCCUGUCAAGUGAGAGUAAAGCCGGGCAUUAACUGUGUGCCGGUCUGAGAGUAUCACUAGAGGAAGGGACGGCUAACUUCGUGCCAGCAGCCGCGGUAAUACGAAGGUCCCAAGCGUUGUUCGGAAUCACUGGGCGUAAAGGGUGCGUAGGCGGCACGGUAAGUCAGAUGUGAAAGCCCGGGGCUCAACCCCGGAACUGCAUCCGAUACUGCCGUGCUAGAGGACUGGAGAGGAGUCUGGAAUUCACAGUGGAGCAGUGAAAUGCGUAGAUAUUGUGAGGAACACCGAUGGCGAAGGCAGCCCCCUGGGCCGACACUGACGCUCAUGCACGAAAGCGUGGGGAGCAAACAGGAUUAGAAACCCGUGUAGUCC
rnacentral:rRNA from 1 species